rnacentral:rRNA from 1 species
ACGGUAACAGGGGAGCUUGCUCCCGCUGACGAGUGGCGAACGGGUGAGUAAUGCAUCGGAACGUGCCGAAUAGUGGGGGAUAACGCACCGAAAGGUGUGCUAAUACCGCAUACGCCCUGAGGGGGAAAGUGGGGGACCGCAAGGCCUCACGCUAAUCGAGCGGCCGAUGUCGGAUUAGCUAGUUGGUGGGGUAAAGGCUCACCAAGGCGACGAUCCGUAGCGGGUCUGAGAGGAUGAUCCGCCACACUGGGACUGAGACACGGCCCAGACUCCUACGGGAGGCAGCAGUGGGGAAUUUUGGACAAUGGGGGAAACCCUGAUCCAGCCAUGCCGCGUGUCUGAAGAAGGCCUUCGGGUUGUAAAGGACUUUUGUCCGGGAGGAAACCCUGAUCGUUAAUAGCGGUCGGGACUGACAGUACCGGAAGAAUAAGCACCGGCUAACUACGUGCCAGCAGCCGCGGUAAUACGUAGGGUGCAAGCGUUAAUCGGAAUUACUGGGCGUAAAGCGUGCGCAGGCGGUGAGAUAAGUCAGCUGUGAAAGCCCCGGGCUCAACCUGGGAACUGCGGCCGAAACUGUCUCGCUAGA